rnacentral:ncRNA from 1 species
AGGGGAUAUCGCGGUCUCCCCUUCAGAUGCAGUCGCCAUCCAAGCGCCGU